ACUCCUACGGGAGGCAGCAGUGGGGAAUAUUGGACAAUGGGGGGAACCCUGAUCCAGCCAUGCCGCGUGUGUGAAGAAGGCCUUAUGGUUGUAAAGCACUUUAAGCGAGGAGGAGGCUACUGAGACUAAUACUCUUGGAUAGUGGACGUUACUCGCAGAAUAAGCACCGGCUAACUCUGUGCCAGCAGCCGCGGUAAUACAGAGGGUGCGAGCGUUAAUCGGAUUUACUGGGCGUAAAGCGUGCGUAGGCGGUCUUUUAAGUCGGAUGUGAAAUCCCCGAGCUUAACUUGGGAAUUGCAUUCGAUACUGGGGAAGCUAGAGUAUGGGAGAGGAUGGUAGAAUUCCAGGUGUAGCGGUGAAAUGCGUAGAGAUCUGGAGGAAUACCGAUGGCGAAGGCAGCCAUCUGGCCUAAUACUGACGCUGAGGUACGAAAGCAUGGGAGCAAACAGGAUUAGAUACCCCUGGUAGCGACUGA
rnacentral:rRNA from 1 species